CGGCUUUAAAAUGGUUUUCUUUUUAUGGUAAAAAAAGUGAAGGACUGGCAGUUUGUCCAGUAAAUGUCAAGGAAUAUUAUUACAAUAGUUUCACAACAUUUUACAUGGAUAUAUUCUUGUGAAACACUAUUAUUGUUAUGCAGUUUGGUUUGCCGGCGGUAAAAAGAGAAAGUGCGUGGUUUUCUGGUUUCCUGUUUUUGAUGAUGUUAUGGUAACAUUCCUGUAUUGAAGAUGAUAUUUGAUUUGGUAUCAAUUUUAUCCUGUUUCCAGUUUUGUAAUGAUUUGAAUGUCUUCCCUCCCCCCAAUCUCGAAUGGAAAAUUUUGAAGUUCCAAGUGUGACAUGUGACAUGAAUUUUUGUUUUAAGUUUUAGAAUAGAAGAAAAUGUAAUGGCAUAGAAGCCAAUAAAGGUAAAUGAUAGCCCAGUAUAACCCCAACGAGGAAUCUACGAUGAAUGUCCUCCCAGUUGGUUUCCAGUAA